GACCCUUCUCUCUGUUUCCCUCUAUUUCACAUCUCUUCAUAUGAUUUCACUCUCAUUGCACACCUUAGAGCCUAUAAAUAUCUAAAGUGUCUAAUUUGCUUUUUCCCCAUUUAAUCUUCUUCUUCUUCUUCUUUCCCAUUCACCUAUUACAUGGCCAUUCACUUAAUGUUGGACAUGGAAUUCAGCACCAUAUUUUGCAUUUAUGCUUCUUUUCUAUUCAUAGUUCUCUUUAAGUCAUUGCUGACAUCAUUCUCUUCCAAACACUAGAAAUAGUCACUCCCUCCCAAUUCCAUUGGUUGGUCUUUACAUUAGAGAAUCCUUUCAAAUGCGUUCCCAACACCCAAAACAAUCUUCUUAGUCACAAAAAUAAAAAAGGUUUAUAUCAUUGCUUUCACUUGCAAACAUACACAUGCAAUUUCAUUAUUCAUUCCUUGUACAGUUGCUAGUGGUUCAUGUGAUGCUCUUUUGCAUAUUCAAUGCUAUUCAGCAAAAAAAUGAGUUAUACUUCCAUUGUUUGGUAAUUAUUUUACUUGGCAAUCACAUGAACUAGUUGAAGGAUUCGAGAGGUUCUAGAUAAAAUGGAAAGUGAGAAUUUGAUAUGUGGCCUUUUUAUUUUUGUGACAAAGCAAAUGUUUGGGUUUAGAGAAUACAUUUGAAAGGUUUCUCCUAUGUAAGGUCGACCUUGGAAUCAGGUGCGAGCAGCUACUCCAAGGUUUGUAAGGGUAGGAUUAAAGCAGUUACUUGAACAGAACAAUGAAGAGAAAAGGAGCAAACAAGCAAAACAUGGUGCUUAGUUCCAUUUCAAUAUUUAAUGUUAGUGGCUUGUGAUAGGUGAGUAGGGAAGAGGAUGAAGCAAAAUUGAUGAUCAGUAAAGUAAAGCCGCCAAAAUUCCACUUGCGUAGCAGCAAAAGACUCCACUUUCUUAAUGCAGGAAGAUUCACCAAGGAACAUUGGCAAGAGUAAGAAUAUUAAUGAGGAAAAACCUCAUCUACUUAAGGUUCAUACUUUGAGAUACAGAAGCCUUUGCCCUGCAAGAACGGGUGCACGUACCAUUGUGCAAGCACUGCCAUCUAGCUGAAGAGCUUUUCCACAGAUUCAUACCAUUAAGUCUUGCCAAAUACAUCAGCUAAAGAGUUAAGAACUGAUGAUGGAUCACAUAGAAUCUUGUAUAUAUAGUUAGCCGGUAGUUUUAUGAGUAGAAGAAUCAUUGAUGUCACAGACAGAACAAUUCCAUCAACCGAGUAUUAUUUUUCCAAGUGUUUACAAAAGCAUUAAGAUAAAUCAUGAGUCAUGCCCUUAUUGAAGGUUGAACUAAAAUCAUUUUGCAGAUUGUUAAUUGAGUUGGCAACUUGGUCCUACUUAAAAUGCUUCCUUGAUCCCUAUUGUUUCUUUUUCCAAAGUCAGACCUCAUCUCUUCCAUAAGGGAAGUGCAUCUAAACUUUGAAUUUCAGUGAAGUAAAGCAAGAGUAUCUAAACUUGAAUUGAGCAAAACAAGAGUAUUAAGAAUUUAGGAAAUUGUGGAGUGAGUUCAACCGUGCUUCACCGGUACCCUCAUUUCCCAAAGGCAAGCGUAUGGGUGAAUAUCUUUAGCAUGCAUUAAAACCUGAUGACAAGGAUGUUGCAAAUGUGCUCAUAGCAGCUGCAGUCUCUUCCCUAGUUUUUAGGAGUUUAAUUUUAAAGUUAUAUUUCAAAUAUUAGGAGAUAUUAAGAGUUUAUGAUUCUAUUUUUAAAUUUAAAAUUAUGCUGUUAUGCCUACAAAUAAGGGGUGUAUUAGUUAUGUUUUGUGCUCUUUAUAUAGAGCUAGCUGCUUCAAUAAAAUAAUUCUUACAUGCCUACA